rnacentral:rRNA from 1 species
UGGGGAAUCUUCCGCAAUGGGCGAAAGCCUGACGGAGCAACGCCGCGUGAGUGAAGACGGCCUUCGGGUUGUAAAGCUCUGUUAUACGGGACGAAUAAUCUUGUGGUUAAUACCCAUGAGAAGUGACGGUACCGUAAGAGAAAGCCACGGCUAACUACGUGCCAGCAGCCGCGGUAAUACGUAGGUGGCAAGCGUUGUCCGGAAUUAUUGGGCGUAAAGGGCGCGCAGGCGGCUUCUUAAGUCUGUCUUAAAAGUGCGGGGCUUAACCCCGUGAUGGGAUGGAAACUGGGAAGCUCAGAGUAUCGGAGAGGAAAGCGGAAUUCCCAGUGUAGCGGUGAAAUGCGUAGAUAUUAGGAGGAACACCAGUGGCGAAAGCGGCUUUCUGGACGAAAACUGACGCUGAGGCGCGAAAGCCAGGGGAGCGAACGGGAUUAGAUACCCCGGUAGUCCUGGCCGUAAACGAUGGGUACUAGGUGUAGGAGGUAUCGACCCCUUCUGUGCCGGAGUUAACGCAAUAAGUACCCCGCCUGGGGAGUACGACCGCAAGGUUG